rnacentral:lncRNA from 1 species
GCCAACUUACAUAUAUUAUAGAUUGUUAUUUUGGGCUACUGAAGCAAAGGUAGAAAACAAUACACCUCUUUUGUCACCUCUAUAGUCUUGUAAUCACAUUUAUCAAAAACAUGGCUACAAUGUAGCGAUCCACUAAUUUACAGAACCUAAAAUUUCACUGGAACUUCAGAGCAUAAAUCAUGAUUAUAGUUUGGGGGUGAGUUCAUUCUGAGCAAUCAUGUUAAACUAGAGAACUAGAGAAGAACUAGAGAAGAUGCAGAGAUAGACGGGCCGUUAAACUAAAGUGCACGAUCAGAUUCAGAAAUCCAGCAACUAAAGGCAAAUGCAGGAAAAUAGAAGCAAUACCUCGGCUACGAGCAGAUCUGCGGCCGGCAGGGUGCAGGCGGUGCGGCGACGCUGUGCAAGCUCUGGAGCAGGCGGCGAGCAGAUCUGCGGCCGGAAGGGUGGGGAGGCGCGGUGCAGAUGCAGGCUCUGGAGCAGGGGCGGCGACCGGUGCAGAUGCAGGCGGCGAUGCAGGCUCUGGAGCAGGCGCGGCGACCGGUGCAGAUCAGAUGCAGCAGCGACAGCAGCAGCAGCAGCGCGCAGAACAGCAGAGGCACCGCGGUGUUGGGGGAGACGGGUGGGGCAGCGGCGAGUCGGCGACGGGUGGAUGCAGGCUUGGAGAUUGGGGGCUUCUUGGCUUCAAGCUGUGCGGCGCAGAUUAGGAAUGAGGAAUUAGGAAAUAGGAGGCGCUGAUUAGGGUUUAG